rnacentral:rRNA from 1 species
AUUGAACGCUGGCGGCAGGCCUAACACAUGCAAGUCGAGCGGAGCGGCGGACGGGUGAGUAAUGCCUAGGAAUCUGCCUGGUAGUGGGGGAUAACGUCCGGAACCGGGCGCUAAUACCGCAUACUAUCAGAUGAGCCUAGGUCGGAUUAGCUAGUUGGUGGGUUAAAGGCUCACCUAGGCGACGAUCCCUAGCUGGUCUGAGAGGAUGACCAGCCACACUGGAACGGAGACAAGGUCCAGACUCCGACGGGAUGCAGGAGUGGGGAAUAGUGCACAAUGGGCGCGAGCCGGAUGCAGACAUGCCGCGUGUAUGAAGAAGGCCUUCGGGUUGUAAAGUACUUUCAGCGGGGAGGCGUUACCCGCAGAAGAAGCACCGGCUAACUCCGUGCCAGCCGCCGCGGUAAUAC